UACAGAGGGUGCAAGCGUUGUUCGGAAUUAUUGGGCGUAAAGCGCGUGUAGGCGGCUUUGCAAGUCGGGUGUGAAAGCCCAGAGCUCAACUCUGGAACUGCCCUUGAAACUGUAUGGCUUGAGUAUGAGAGAGGUGAGUGGAAUUCCCAGUGUAGAGGUGAAAUUCGUAGAUAUUGGGAAGAACACCGGUGGCGAAGGCGGCUCACUGGCUCAUUACUGACGCUCAGGCGCGACAGCGUGGGGAUCAAACAGG
rnacentral:rRNA from 1 species